UACGUAGGGGGCUAGCGUUGUCCGGAAUCAUUGGGCGUAAAGCGCGCGUAGGCGGCCCGGUAAGUCCGCUGUGAAAGUCCAGGGCUCAACCCUGGAAAGCCGGUGGAUACUGCCGGGCUAGAGUCCGGGAGAGGCGAGUGGAAUUCCUGGUGUAGCGGUGGAAUGCGCAGAUAUCAGGAGGAACACCUAAGGCGAAGGCAGCUCGCUGGAACGGUACUGACGCUGAGGCGCGAAAGCGCGGGGAGCAAACAGG
rnacentral:rRNA from 1 species